UACGUAGGGUCCGAGCGUUGUCCGGAAUUACUGGGCGUAAAGGGCUCGUAGGUGGUUUGUCGCGUUGUUCGUGAAAACUCACAGCUUAACUGUGGGCGUGCGGGCGAUACGGGCAGACUGGAGUACUGCAGGGGAGACUGGAAUUCCUGGUGUAGCGGUGGAAUGCGCAGAUAUCAGGAGGAACACCGGUGGCGAAGGCGGGUCUCUGGGCAGUAACUGACGCUGAGGAGCGAAAGCGUGGGGAGCGAACAGG
rnacentral:rRNA from 1 species